GAGAUUCCAAAGUCUGCCAGUUUACAAACAAAGCUAUUGUCAAGAAGGACAUUGUCAGGCUUCAGAUCGCCAUGGGCAAUGCCUUUUGGUUUGUUAGAGUGGAGGAAGAUAAGUCCCGUGCAGAUGUCGGCAGCUAUUCUGAUGCGCAUUCGCCAUGAGAGCGGCUCUCUUUGGUUCUCGCACUGCAGACAGUCCUCUAGGCUUCCAUUCGACAGGAAUUCGAAGACCAACGCUUUGGCCUCCCUGCACACUCCUAUCAGAGUGACAAGCUCUGCUUGCAACUGUUGGAGCUCUUCCAUUAGGGUGUUUGUCUGAAGAAGCUUGCUCUCCAAUUCUGCUCUUUGCUCAUUUGCCUUCUGCAGCUCGUUGCAUACAUGGAUGUGCUCUUUUUCAAGGUCAGCCUUUUCUCUUGUUAGCCUUUCCUCUACCUCCUUUUUUUCGUUGCGGAGUGAACUCUCCCGUGCUUUGAACUGCAAGAAAACAGUUCGCUUACUUGAGAGAUACAUGUAAUAUAAAUUCCAUGCAUUCAGAGAAGAAAGGUUGGGAAAAUACAGUAGAUUAAACAACAAUAGUGGGUAACUAAAGGUAUCUGUCAAUAACAAAUAACAUACCAUCAUAGAAGAUUCAAACAGGUUCUUCUCGGCUUUCUGCCGGCCCUCAGAUGCUUCCUUUUUCGAGCGCUCUAGCUGAUUGCGGACUCGGUGCAGUUGCUCAAACAUUUCACGUAUUUCCACCUGUAAAACAUUAUGUUUGCUUUGAAUUCAGUAAGCAUGACAACGUUAUCUAAUAAGUAUUACAACUGAGACCUUGGUUGAUCAAUCAAAAUUUAGAUGAUAGAGCAAUAGCAGUAAGAUUUUAUUUAACAAAGUGGAUUUUUUCCAGUAGAGAUACUACUGGUUGAGAGUUACUACAGCCAUGUAGACAUUCUAUUGUCAACCUUUUUCCUCUACACUUGUGCUAGGACCAAAGCCUCUUUAAACGUAGUUCUAACAUUACAUAGUACUGGGUUUAUGUUUAAUAGGUUUGUUUGUUUAAAUAAUGGAGGGAUAGUUCUCCAGACCUCUGCACCCAUAGGGUACACACAGCCGUAAAAUUAUUGUAAUUCAAAAAAAAAAAAGGGUGCGGCUAUGCUUAGAGAACUCAGCUCAGUCCAAUAUAGCUUACUGUAGAGUGCUGAUGUUCUUCAGAGCUUGCAACUGAAACAGGCACUGGUGAACCAUCCAUGCUGUCCAAAUCCCUCAGACCCAAUGAGGACCCACCAGUACUUUGCUGGCUGGAACUCGGAGAGGAAUCUGUUGGUGUCAUAUCAAUCGACUGCCGCCUUGCAGGUGACAUGAUUUCUACACUGCCCGCUAUCGAUCCAGACAAGGAAUAACUAACUGAGUUGGACCGCCGUGGCAGGGGCUGUUGAUCUGUAGAGCCUAACAGACUAUCAAUUGACUGCCGCCUUGCAGCUGACAUGUUUUCUACACUGUCUGCUAUCAAUCCGGACAAGGGAUAACUGACUGAGUUGGACCGUCGUGGAAGGGGUUGUUGGCCUGUAGAGGCUAAGAGACCUGGAUGCCCUGGUGGCAGUGAUAGGGAUCUUGGAGUUAACUCAGGUUGAUCUGAGAUAGUGCUUGCGAAGCUACUUCGGGGUGACUCUACUUUUGCACAAAGCUCAGUGGCCUCCCUGAAAAAUAAUAAGAAACAUGGCACCAUUUUAUUUGUCAGGAUAGAUAUAAUUUUGAGUAGUUGCUCGAGCUGAAAUUUGCAAAUUCGGUGUAGUAUUUGCUUUAUGUUGACUUAGGGAUGCAUGACACUCAUACCUAGAGCAACCAAGAGCCUCUUUGCAAAUAUAGAAGAUCUGGCAAUAUGGUUUGGCCUGCAGAUGCACACUGGCUGCAACUUUUGAUUUUGGUACUUUCCUCUUCCUGUUCAUGGAAGAUUCAUAAUCAACAUAAACAACUUGGAUUAUUUCUACUUUAGACUUUAGACAGAGGGAGAGAUGAUAACUAGUAAAGGCAUAGUUAUUUGUUAUUGGGAGUUUUAAGUGAAGUAUAGACAAAAUGGUUCUGCCCCCUUCCUUAUCGCCACUUGUUAGAACAGCGGACGCAUAAAAGAGAAAUAAGAAAUUUACAUAUACAGGAUUCGAGCGUCUAACUACAUAACUCAUGGUGCUGUGCUCUAUGGAAACAGUGCAGUUGGAAAUAAUUGCAAUGUAUUUUUUCAUGAAACCUUAUUACAAAGUUGGAACAUUGCAUCUGCACAUACACUGAGAAGGAAGAUGUUCCCAUAACAAGCUUUGUAAUGCGAUUUUGAUCAAUGAGCUCGAUAAUCCCAUUUGCAGGACUGUUCUUCUCGAUCACCAGCGUUUCAGCUUGCAUCUGUAAAUUUGCUACUCUUAAUUUCGUACAGAUGAUAUAUGAUUUCAGAAUCCAUGUAGCCUUUCCUGAAUUAGUCAACUGACCUUGAGAGAAACUCUGCAGAAAUUGAGGUACUGGUUUAAAAGUGUGUUCAUCUCCUCCUUCUCAAUCUUUCUGUAUGCUUUGAGCUCCUUUUCUUCGACCUGGCUUGCUGGAACCUUGCAUAAUCCUGCGCCGGCAACAUUAGAGCCGAAUCAGCAUAGAUUACUGAACAAGUAUUUGCAAUGCCUACUGAAAACAGGGGAGUGCUUUCUGAAACUGUCUGACAGCAACAUCGAACAACAGAAGGCUACUUCUGCUUGCUGCUAAUUUCAUUUGUAUCAUUUCAGCAGAUUCUCUUGUGAAACAGGGGGUGGAAAAGAAAAUGGAGAUGGGGAUCAAAUCCAGCAAGAUCAAGGCUGGUGGACGUGCAGCAGGACAAGCUUGGGAUCACCGGCGAGGAGGUUCCGAGCUGCCCAGACGAGGUUGGACCUGCCGUCCUUGACGUCCUUCCCGACGGCGACAUACAGCUUCCCUACGCCGUCAUCAUCAUAAGCAUCGUGCAAGAUGGCGGCCUCUUCGUCGAUCUCUCUGAGGCUGGCGCUCCUGUUGGCCCCGCUGGCACUGGACGACGACGACCGGCCGCUCCCUCCACGUGUGAACAUCCUCUCCGCCACCUCGGGCUGCGGCGACCGAGGGGAGAAGGCUGUCAAUGGCGACGAUGACGGCGAAGGGAGGGAAGCACGGGCUCUGCUGACCACGGCCAUGUGGAACCACCAACAGUUAGCCACCACCAGAGAAGAACCAGCUAGCUAGCAACCUCUCAGAGUGCAGCGAAGAGGAGUGAAAAAAGUGCAUAUGCUAUCUAGCUACCACGAGAGAAAGCGGCAAGCAAUCUCCCAAGAGAAGAGGAAACAAAAGUGAAAAGGUGCAUACCCUUGGCCUUAGAGUUUUGUUGCUGGUGUUGGCAGCCAAGGCGACAAGGCGGAUAGGAGCAAGGAGGAGCAAACAAAUGGCCGCUUUCUCUUGCUCUCUCAGCCCGGGGGUCAAUUUUUCUGUGAAUGCGAUUCAGAAACAAACAAGAAGUUGGCCCCAGAGCUUCGAGGUCGUUCUCCAACCGGGGAAUUCAGUCCACGUCCAUCGUAGAUGUCAUUCAGAAUUUCCGGCGGAGAAGAUAUCGCCCCUUCAACGUGAGGCCGGAGAUCGGCGACAGCUGCUUCUGAGAAGCUUCCUGGUCUGCUACCCACGGGCCAUCUCUUUCAGUAGCUCUGGUACCUCCUUCAGUCAACAGAGAGCAAUCAAUGGCAGGGAAUGCAUGGCAGGCUUGCUCUUGCACAGCUGGCCAGCUGGAAUAUGCCAGCGGUAUCUUUGUGCCCGGUCAACGGUCAACGUACCGGCUUCUCAUCUUUGGAAUAAUGAUCCCAGCCAGUGAUCUCAAGACUCUGCUGGGCGAGAUGGGGUCAACGUUUCCGGUCGGUCAGCUCAGCUGUAACCUUAACUGCUGCUAACCAGAAAUGCAAUGCAAUGCAAUGACCUUGGGCCUGACUAGCAAGCAACAAUGCUCCUGAACUGAUUACAUAAUGUGUUCUUGAGAUGGUGGACGGAAUGGAAUCGGGAUCGGAAGAAUAUCCGUGAACACGGGGCAAUUGAUCAGUGGCAAGAAAUUCAUGGUUAGUUCUUGCACAGCUAGCUAGAUGGAGACUUGGAAUGUACUCUCUGUACCUUGCUGCAUGUUGGUCAUGGUCCUUGGCUUUCAGAUGGAUGGGGUGAUCCAAGACUGAACUUUGAAGGCUUGCUGACCCAGACCAGGUCACACACGCCCUGCUGCAAGCCAUUUAAUACCUUAAGUCCUUAACUAUUGGUACGUACUAAUCAGGACUGCAAUGGUACGACUUGUAAUGUACGUAUGUAUGCGUGUACUUAGCAAAUAAGUGAAAUGUUUGAUUGCAUAUCUUGGCCAGAUGUUGGAGACGAAAAAAAACGAGGUUUCUCUUUUUAAUUUAAUUAAUUUGUGUUGAUGCAAGCACAAACACAUUUCUCUUCUCUACCUGCACAAAAAUGUUUUGCUUCUGUUUGCAAUGCAUGGUGUGGCAAAUACUCCCUCCGUUCCUAAAUAUAAGUCUUUGGAGAGAUUUCACUAUGGACCACAUACGAAGCAAAAUAAGUGAAUCUAUACUCUAAAAUGCAUCUAUAUACAUCCGUAUGUGGUUCGUAGUCAAAUCUCUACAAAAACUUAUAUUUAGGAAAGGAGGGAGUACUUUUCUGUGAAUUUUUUUUUUUGAAUAAAAGAAG